rnacentral:rRNA from 1 species
AAAGCUCAAAUUUAAAAUCUGGCGGUCCUUGCGGCCGUCCGAGUUGUAAUCUAGAGAAGCGUCAUCCGUGCCAGGCCGCGUACAAGUCUCUUGGAAUAGAGCGUCACAGAGGGUGAGAAUCCCGUCUCUGCCGCGGACUUCUGGUGCGUUGCGAUGCGCUCUCGACGAGUCGAGUUGUUUGGGAAUGCAGCUCAAAAUGGGUGGUAAAUUCCAUCUAAAGCUAAAUAUUGGCGAGAGACCGAUAGCGAA